rnacentral:rRNA from 1 species
UGGGGAAUAUUGGACAAUGGGCGAAAGCCUGAUCCAGCCAUGCCGCGUGUGUGAAGAAGGUCUUCGGAUUGUAAAGCACUUUAAGUUGGGAGGAAGGGCAGUAAGCUAAUACCUUGCUGUUUUAACGUUACCGACAGAAUAAGCACCGGCUAACUCUGUGCCAGCAGCCGCGGUAAUACAGAGGGUGCAAGCGUUAAUCGGAAUUACUGGGCGUAAAGCGCGCGUAGGUGGUUUGUUAAGUUGGAUGUGAAAGCCCCGGGCUCAACCUGGGAACUGCAUCCAAAACUGGCAAGCUAGAGUACGGUAGAGGGUGGUGGAAUUUCCUGUGUAGCGGUGAAAUGCGUAGAUAUAGGAAGGAACACCAGUGGCGAAGGCGACCACCUGGACUGAUACUGACACUGAGGUGCGAAAGCGUGGGGAGCAAACA